rfam:Schistosoma rodhaini strain Burundi genome assembly, scaffold: SROB_scaffold0001219
AUCCAGCUGACGAGUCCCAAAUAGGACAAGAUGCGCAUCCUGGAU